GUGGGGAAUUUUGGACAAUGGGGGCAACCCUGAUCCAGCCAUGCCGCGUGCGGGAAGAAGGCCUUCGGGUUGUAAACCGCUUUUGUCAGGGAAGAAAUCCUUUGGGUUAAUACCUCGGAGGGAUGACGGUACCUGAAGAAUAAGCACCGGCUAACUACGUGCCAGCAGCCGCGGUAAUACGUAGGGUGCGAGCGUUAAUCGGAAUUACUGGGCGUAAAGCGUGCGCAGGCGGUUUUGUAAGAUCGAUGUGAAAUCCCCGGGCUCAACCUGGGAACUGCAUUGGUGACUGCAAGGCUGGAGUGCGGCAGAGGGGGAUGGAAUUCCGCGUGUAGCAGUGAAAUGCGUAGAUAUGCGGAGGAACACCGAUGGCGAAGGCAAUCCCCUGGGCCUGCACUGACGCUCAUGUACGAAAGCGUGGGGAGCAAACAGGAUUAGAUACCCUGGUAGUCC
rnacentral:rRNA from 1 species